rnacentral:rRNA from 1 species
GGCUGAAACUCGCCUACAUGAAGCUGGAGUUGCUGUAAUCGCGAAUCAGCAUGUCGCGGUGAAUACGUUCCCGGGCCUUGUACACACCGCCCGUCACACCAUGAGAGUUGGCAAUACCCAACGUACGUGAUCUAACCCGCAAGGGAGGAAGCGUCCUAAGGUAGGGUCAGCGAUUGGGUGAAGUCGUAACAAGGUAGC